rnacentral:lncRNA from 1 species
GCUGCUGUGGCAGAGGAGGAGAAAAAGGAAGAAUCUUCUGCUGCUGAACCCACCACCGAUGCUGCACCAUCUGAGACUCCGGCAAUCGCGGAGCCGGUGAAGGAAGAGCCACCAGUUCCAGCGGCUGUGGUAGAAGAGAAGAAAGAAACUCCACCUGUAGUGGAAGAGAAGAAAGAAAUUCCACCUGUAGUAGUGGUAGUGGAAGAGAAGAAAUUCCACCUGUAGUAGUGGAAGAGAAGAAAGAAAUUCCACCUGUAGUAGUGGAAGAGAAGAAAGAAAUUCCACCUGUAGUAGUGGAAGAGAAGAAAGAAACUCCACCAGCAGCAGAGCCGGUCGAUAAAGUGACUGAAAAGGUUACAGCAGAGGAGGAGGAUGGUUCUAAAGCCGUUGAAGAAAUCAAAGAGACGAUUGUUGAAGUGACUGCCACCAGUACUGCACCGGUGGAGGAGACAGCAAUUCCGGCAGAAGAAGUCCCAGCAACAGAGGAAGAUGUAGC